rnacentral:rRNA from 1 species
CCUUGUACACACCGCCCGUCACACCACCCGAGUUGGGGAUACCCGAAGCCGCUAGACUAACCUGCAAAGGAGGUCGGCGUCUAAGGAAUGCCUGGUGAGGGGGGUG